UAGUAAAUACAUUGGUACCCAGUACUGCAGCAAGAAAUGCAGAGACAAAAUAAUUUUUAAUAAUAUAGUCAAAACCUGUUUCCACUUUUAAGGACCAGAUGGCUAAUCGUUAUCAGUAUGCGAAGACUCUCACCAGCUCUGUCAUUAACAUGGAAAGAAACCUUGGUUAGUCUGCCUGUGCACAACAUCCCUGAACCUCUGUGAACCAAAGAUUUGAACUGGUUGAUUCUCUAUAGCGGAACACCUCAGGACUGCGUACAACUUCCUCCAUGCCCGCAUGAGCAUCUACUUCCAAUAUAGGUUAAAAUAAACCAAGAUCAAUUGCUA